AGAGACUUAGGUUAAUUUAAACCGAGAGCCUUCAAAGCUCAAAAUGGGAGUUAAAAUCCUCCAAUCUCUG
rnacentral:tRNA from 1 species